GCCUGGGUGGCUCAAUUGGUUAAGCAUCCAACUCUUGAUUUCAGCUCAGGUCAUGAUUUCACAGUUUGUGAGUUCAAGCCCCACCUCAGGCU
rnacentral:tRNA from 1 species